GGGAAGGCAGCAGCACAGAACUUGUGGACUCUCUGCUUGGACCACGGGGGGCUUCGCUCAGGUAUACGCCUAGAAGUGAAGCUUCUGUGUAAAAAGUCACCCUCCAGCCAACAGCCUGGGUGUGAGAGCCUCGAUGUCACAGAAGAGGGUCCCCAUCUUCCACAAGGAGAAAGAAUUCAACCAAGGGAAGGUAGGUGCCAAAAGCUAUAGCAAAAGCACAGACCCUAAAUGAAGGCCAAGACGAGGAUCCAGACAACUGGG